AUACUAGGGUCCAUCUUUUCUUUUUAUUAACUUUCAAAGUUGAAAUAACUUAUUUUUUUGUGGAUUGAGUUGUUUUUUAUUGACUAUUAGUGACUAAUUCAGCAUCUGAAGGAUUUUUUAUACUUAUCGGCAAUGACCACGGUUGAAUUGAAUCGAUCCGAGAGGAUCAGAGCUGCCCUUUUUGAUGACGAAGCAAGUGAUAUUUUAUACCAGACUUGUAUUGAUUCAAAAUCACAAACUUGUGUCUUAAGACUUUCGGAACCAGCCCAGAUGAUCAAAUUAGCUAUUGAAGCUCUUAUAAAUUACCAAAAUGACGCAGAUUUAGCAACUAGUGCUGUUCCAGAGUUGCUUAAACUUCUGAAUGAUGAAGAUGAGGUUGUUGUGAGUAAAGCAACUCUUAUGGUUCAUCACUUGAGUCAAAAAGUAGCAUCUCGACAUGCACUUAUUAACUCGCCACAAAUGGUAUCUGCCUUAUUGAGAGCUAUGUCAAAUUCUGAAGCUGAAACAACAACAUGUGCUGCCAGUAUUUUGCAUAAUUUGUCACAACACCAGCAAGGAUUACUCGCCAUUUUCAAAUCUGAUGGAAUAUCAACAUUAAUUAAACUACUUUCAUCCCCAAUAAAUCGAGUUGUGUUUUAUGCUCUAACUACUAUUUACAACUUGCUGCUUCAUCAAGAAGGCUCUAAGACGGCUGUCAGAUUGGCUGGAGGAAUCCAAAAAAUGGUUUCUUUAUUGACCCAUCCUAAUCCUAAAUUCCUGGCACUUUUAACCGAGUGUUUGACAUUAUUGGCAUUUGGAAAUCAAGAAGCUAAAUUGAUAAUUUUAGCUUCAGAUGGAGUACAAGAGAUAAUAAAUAUCAUGUUGGUGCACAAAUAUGAAAAGUUAUUAUGGACCGCAUCACGACUGUUGAAAGUUUUAUCUGUUUGUCCAAGUAAUAAACAUGCAAUCAUCUCAACUGGUGGAAUAUAUGCACUUUCUAUGCACUUGGAUCAUCCAAGUUCUCGUUUACGAUUGAGUUGCCUUUGGACUCUCAGAAACUUAUCUGACGCUGCUACUACGAUUCCGAAUCUCGACCAUCUUCUUCAAUCACUUGUUAAAUUUUUGAAUGAUGAAGAUUUGAAUGUGGUUAUGUGUUGUUUGGGAAUUCUUUCUAAUUUAACAUGUAACAAUAGACACAAUAAGCUAUUGAUCUGUCAGCUUGGAGGUAUUGAAAGAUUAGUUUUAACAAUGAAGCAAACAAGAGAUCAGGAAGAGAUCCUUGAACCUGUUAUUUGUUGUUUAAAACAUUUAACUCACCAACAUGAUGAAGCAGAAAUAGCUCAAAACGACGUCCGUCUCCAUGAUGGUAUUACUUAUAUUGUUAAUCUUCUCAGUCUUCCUAUUGGUUGGCCUUUAAUUAAAGCAAUCAUUGGUUUGAUUGCAAAUUUGUCUCUCUGUCCAGCAAAUCAGGCUCCUUUGCGCGAAUCACAAGUUUUGCAAAAGUUGAACCAACUUUUAGCUAAAGCACAACAAGAAAGGGCUAACAUGAAUUCUUCUACAGCUUAUAUGGAAGGCGUUAAGAUGUCUGAUAUCAUUGAAGUAUCCAUGGAAGCAUUUAAAAUCUUAGCUCGAGAUGUUCAUAAUAGAGCAAUCAUCAUCGAAAUGAAUCUGAUACCUACUUUUGUUCAAUUCUUGUAUUGUGACGAAGAGAAUCUUCAACAAGCAUCUGUUGGUGUGCUUAGUGAAUUGGCCCUUGAAAAAAGAGCUGUCGAUAUUAUUGAAGCUGAAGGUGCUACUGCGGCUCUUACUGAACUUCUCCAUUCAAGAAAUGAGAUAAUUGCUACAUUCGCUGCUGCUGUUUUGUAUCGUAUGUCUGAGGAUAAACCACAAGAUUAUAAGAAACGACUCUCUUUGGAAUUGAGUGCAACUUUAUUCCGCGAUGAACCUAGUAAUUGGGCAACAUCAGCUGGCGAAACUGAUAUGCCGCAUGCAGAAUCUCAUUAUGGCUCGUUGGCUGCUCCAUUGAAUCCAUAUCCUCAAUCUAUUUAUGUUCAAACCACAUCGGACAUGGAUGUCAAUAAUCCUUACUCAUCUCCCUACUAUCAUGAAAGUCCAACUCAAGUUGCCAAUCAAGAUCAAUAUUCGGCCUGGUACGACACAGAUCUAUGAUAUGAUUGGAUCAGGUGAUGGUGAUUUAAAUACAAUCAGUUUAACGACAUUUUAAAAUAUUUAUGCAAUAAUGAAUCGUGAAUUUCUACCCUUGUUUUUCAACCUUAUUGAUUAUUAUUGGAUAAAUGUUUGCUCAAUACAACUUGCACUUUUUCUUAAAGGAUUAAUAAAGCCUAAUGAAUUUAUGCAAAAAAUUUCAAUAGCAUAAAUCUCACUGUUUAUCAUUCA